rnacentral:rRNA from 1 species
GACGGAGGGGGCUAGCGUUGUUCGGAAUUACUGGGCGUAAAGAACGCGUAGGCGGUUUGAUAAGUUGGAAGUGAAAUCCCGGAGCUUAACUUCGGAAUUGCUUUCAAAACUAUUUAACUAGAGUACGGUAGGGGGUGAUGGAAUUCCAAGUGUAGAGGUGAAAUUCUUAGAUAUUUGGAGGAACACCGGUGGCGAAGGCGGUCACCUGGGCCGGUACUGACGCUGAGGUGCGAAAGCGUGGGGAGCAAACAGG